rnacentral:lncRNA from 1 species
CGCGAGGAAUGCCAGUCUUAGCAGUCAUCGCCCGGGAAAAUUUCGAUAGUGGCCAUUUUGAAUUGUUUAAUUUCCCCGGGCGAUGAGUAUUGAGAUCAGCAUUCCUCGCGGGCACCAAGCCUUGUGACGUCAUUAUGCAUAAGGUAUAUUGUGUGUUGAAGGUUUAGCCCGCACGUUAGCAUGACUUUAUUCUCGCACAUUUUAUAUUUUUGCCGGUGUCGUGCUGGGAAAACAAAUACACUAAAGGCCCAUUUCCACUCAAGAAAAAUUUCCACGGAUAGAAAAU